rnacentral:lncRNA from 1 species
AAGCAGCAGAGGGAGUAGAACAGACCUCUUUUCUCGACUGCAGUGGCUUGACAUUGGAUGCCCUAAUAAGAAGAUUGACAUGACUUUUUGAUGCGAUUUCAUGUAUCACACAACUUACAAGACAAUAUGUUUCUUAAAUAUCUAUGGUCAUAUUUAGGAUACAUGUUAAUGACCAUUGUAAGAUUGUGUGUAACAUACAAGACUUGGGGCACUUGAAUCAAAGUCAAGUUCAGAUAUAGAAUUCAGUUGCCUACAGUCUACCACAUAGCUACUAAACCAUAUGAAAGGAGCUGUCGGUAUUUCCAUGGUGCAGCUAUCACCAGUUUCAAAAUGGAAACAGACUGAAAAACCGAUUGAGUGGCAGAAGACAGACAGACAAACAAACAGUCGGAUAGACAGAUUGGCAGACAAAGGACAAUCGAGAAGUCACGGCAGAUGAAGUACUGAUAGAGAACACUACAUGUACAUCUGGAACUCUCCACCUAUCUCAGCAGAUUACCAAACUCUGGGUCUCUGUCUCAGCUUUCCGAUGCUCAGCCUAUAUUUGCUAUCGUCUAUAACAUUCAACUACCAUAAAG